CCUACGGGAGGCAGCAGUGGGGAAUAUUGGACAAUGGGCGAAAGCCUGAUCCAGCCAUGCCGCGUGUGUGAAGAAGGCCUUCGGGUUGUAAAGCACUUUCAGUGGGGAAGAAAGCCUUGGGGCUAAUACCCUCGAGGAAGGACAUCACCCACAGAAGAAGCACCGGCUAACUCCGUGCCAGCAGCCGCGGUAAUACGGAGGGUGCGAGCGUUAAUCGGAAUUACUGGGCGUAAAGCGCGCGUAGGCGGUCUGAUAAGCCGGUUGUGAAAGCCCCGGGCUCAACCUGGGAACGGCAUCCGGAACUGUCAGGCUAGAGUGCAGGAGAGGAAGGUAGAAUUCCCGGUGUAGCAGUGAAAUGCGUAGAGAUCGGGGGGAAUACCAGUGGCGAAGGCGGCCUUCUGGACUGACACUGACGCUGAGGUGCGAAAGCGUGGGUAGCAAACAGGAUUAGAUACCCCAGUAGUC
rnacentral:rRNA from 1 species